CGGGAAGAUGGGGGCUGAGGCGCUGGGGGCGCGGGGAGUGCCGGGAGCGCCAGCAGAAGCGGGAUCCGCUGCGGCGGUGCCCAGAGGGCCCUGGGGCGUGUCGGCACUAAGGGGCAGGAGCGGGCCCAGAGGCGCCCCGAGGGCCUUGAGGCGCUGUGUGGCUCUCCAGGUUUCAAACAGGGGUGGCCUCCUGGAGGCGCCGGCUUCCCGGGUGCGCCGCCCCUGGCCGACUGAGGAUUAGCGCCUGCAGUCGGAUGGGAGGUUCGGGACCACCCCCCGCAGCCUGUGCUGGGGGCCCGGGCCUCCCGCGGCCGGCCAGUUUGGGUAGCGGUGAGACCUAGCCCUCUUGGGGGCGCGCGACCUGCCCGAGCCCGGGUGCUUCUGGGGAAAGCCGCGCGGCGGCCGGGAUCCGGGCGCUGUGUGACUGCGGGCCCUGGUGGUUUUAUUGCUCCCGCUCUGACCCAGGGGAGGAUUACCGCGUCUGGAGCGGAGCCGCGCGGAACGCGGAGGAUCGGUGGGCCGGGUUAGCCUCCUUAAAUGCCGAGUGUUUCCUGCGCCGAGCUGCGUCCGCGGGAGCCGGAGCCGGAAGGGGUCUGCGCGUCUCUGGCUGACGGAACUGCUGCCCCGGGGCUGCUUCGGAGGCGCCCCCUUCUCCCCUCGCCCCUGCUCCCGCUUGAACGAGCGUGUACACGAAUUAUCUGGAGACAGCUUCUGUGUUAGCAGAAGUUGGAGUGCUUAAUACAGUUGGUGAGAGCUGGAGCCACACUUGAUGUCUCCACUACGCGUUAUGCACAGACCCCAGCCCACAUUGCUGCUUUUGGGGGACAUCCUCAGUGCCUCAUCUGGUUGAUUCAAGCUGGAGCCAGCAUUAACAAACCGGACUGUGAGGGCGAGACUCCCAUUCACAAGGCAGCUCGCUCUGGGAGCCUAGACUGCAUCAGUGCCCUGGUAGCUAAUGGGGCUCACAUCGACUACGUAAUUCGAAUUGACUUGAUUUUUUCAAGUAAUCCUAGAAAGGGGGAGCAUUCCAUAUAGAAACUGCUGAAACUGCCACAGGUGCUUCUCCGAAAACCUUACAGUUGUGGCAUUGAAUGUUCAGUAUGGCUUCCUUUCUUCACACGAGGCAUACUGUUGAGCCUGAGAAAUGCCAGUGGCCUGACAGCAGCAGACAUUGCUCAAACCCAGGGUUUCCAAGAAUGUACCCAGUUUCUCUUGAACCUCCAGAAUUGUCAUCUGAACCGUUUCUAUAAUAAUGGCUCCUUAAAUGGGGGCCAUCAGAACAUAUUUCCUAAUCAUGUUAGUGUGGGAACAAAUCGCAAGAGAUGCUUGGAAGAUUCGGAACCCUUUGGAGUAAAGAAGGCUAGAACUGAAGCUCAAAGCUUGGAUUACUCCAUGCCACUAGUGAACGGCGAGGCGGAAGACGAUGCUGACAAAAUGCACGUCGAUAGAGAGUUUGCUGUUGUAACAGGUGGGAGUGGACAGUUUCCCGUUAGCUGCAACAGCAGUCCAGUGGUCGAAGACACCAAACAGCACGAGGGUGGUUCUGUUGGACCAAAAGAAAUAGAAAUAUAUACUGUUUCAGCAAUGCAAACCCCUUGUCGUUGCAAGAAUCAGUAUGCAUAUUAUUUCUAACAUAAGCUUCUCUCAAAUGAGUUUUGCACUUUGUUGUCCAGUGUUUUAAAGAAUGUUAUACUAUAAUUUGCAUAUUUUGGGCAAGUUUGUAGAUACAAGGAUAAGUGUUUUUGGUGCAUUCUAUGGAUAUGAAAAAUAUAAGUGCAAUAUUUCUGAUUUUAAACUUUUGCUUAAUGUGCCUUGUUUAACUUUGAUAAGGUUUUGCAUUUUUAAUUUUCUGAUGGAGGACUUUGGCUGAAUAUACAAAAUGAGCAUCUAUUGCUAGUAAUUUCAAAGCGAUAAGGAUGAUUCACUGUAGACAAUGAAAAUUAGUAAACAUUGUGGUUUUGACUUGUAACCAGUCACGCUGAUACAGAACCUGUCACUUGACCCUUAGUGGUUGCUCUGGUUCCUGUGCCAUGCACUCUAGGUCUAGUGAAAUGCUGAACACCGUGUCUCACAAAACACAGUUUAUACACUGAAAUUUUUAGUGUAUUAAGAUUUUAUUAUCGAUAGUCAUUAUCAGUUUUUAAAAGCCAAAGGCUCGAUUUUUUUUAGCUUUUAAAGAUUUAUCCAUUUAGUUAAUGCUUUUUUCUACUGUUCUUGAUUUAAGUGCCCGUGAAAACAUUUUAUUCAUUCUUUUACAUGUUAAUAUAUGUAAAAAUAGAUACUGGCUUUUAAAAAGUUUGAUUAUUAUGUCUUUAAACUAUAUUCUUCACUGGGGAGAAAAGAUUACCUAUUUUGUUUCCCAGACUUUCAUGAAAAAAUCAUUUCUGUUCAAUAAAAUGAUAAAGAAUGUGUACAUAUUUCUAGAAGCUACAGAAUUGUAAUGGGUGGAGUCACCUUUUUGCCAAAUAAUUAAAUGAAACGAAACUCAAAGCCAGCUUAAAAAAAAUAACAUUGCUACAUGCUUUUAAAAAGGCACAAGUAAUCACUCUUUAAUCUUUAAGCAUUAAUUCCCUGGGUUUUCAGAUUACAUUUAAUACCAAGCUUGAACAUAACAUUGAAAAAGCCAUACUUUUCAAGCCUGGCUCAUCCCAUAUACAGGUGCCAAGUAAGCACCUGUAUUUUCCAUCAUUUCAUAUAACACUAUCUGACUGAAUAAACAAAUGUUAAUUCUCUGAAGACUGCUUGUUAGUAGAUAAGCAAAUAGGUGAGAGGGAAGUGGGAGUCCCAAAAGGCAGUUUGAAACAGAAUAAAGGACAGUGUUGGAGAUGGCCUGUGGUAUGAGUCCUGGCCAAGCAAGGUUAUGUCUUAGCCAGUCUCUAGCAAGGCUGCUAUUUUCAUGCACAGUUUUAUUAGAUUUCCAACUAAUCUUGACUUUGAGAUUGUGCAAUGGAACUAAUUUAAUUAGGCACUAAAGGAAAACAGUCCACACACAGAUUUCUGAGGCGUGCUUAUUUACCUUUGCAGACCCAUCACCUGAAAAUACAGUUUUCAUUCCACUGGUAGCAUACCAAUUAUUUGUCUUAAGAACUAUCCGUGAGUUUUAUCACCCAGCAACAGUUAUUUAUACUUCAUCUUUUAAAAAUUAAUACAAAUAUUUUCUUGGAACAACUAGCUUUUUUCUUUUUUUAUUUUACUUCAUGUUUAGUUAUUGAAACAAUUGUUCUCUAGACUUGAGUUUUAACUAAAUAGAAAAACUGUCAUUUAAUUUUUUUAAAAAUUUAUCGUUCUCUGCAGAAUUUAUGGGAGUUACUAAAUUGCCAGAAAAUUGAUGAUUAGUGGAGUGUUUCGAUGUUUUUGUUCAUUGAACAAGCCAUGAUUUUUUGUUGACAGGGAGGUUCUCAGGACACACAAAAACCCUUGUUUGAGUGCAAAUCAGAGGUCUGUACAUGGUGAACCCAAAAAGUAAGCCCUUCAUGGGGAGAGUCACACUGUGUGAGAUGUGUUAGGGUAAUCAGAUGUACAUAACGGGUCCUCAUCUGUUGUAACUCAGCUUUCUGUGUUUAAUAUCAUACCAUACUUUAAUAACGCAGAACAUUGGGAUCAAGUCUAAUAUUAUCAAGCAAGACAAUUUUAGGUCACUCUCUCUACUGUUCUGUGAAUUCCUGUAAACAAAUCUCUCUAGUUUCAUUAUUCAGAAAAAUACUUUGUGAUUGCCUACUCCCAUGUGCCCAAAUGUUUUGUGAUUAACAUUUUUUUCUAUAAGACAUCCUUGUCUUAAUGGAUGCAGAUCAAACUCUCAACAUUUCCAACAUAAGUUGUUUUUGAAAGUGGAACCUUGGAUAUCAUAAUCACCUUAAUUGCUGAAUUCAGAAGAAACUCUUCAGAACUGCUGUUGGCCCAAGACUGUCUGCAUGAGAGCCAUUAGUUCCUUCCUGUAGUUGCUGUCCUCGGUACUCUGCAGAGCUGCCAUGUGGCAUUUUGCAGAAGUAGUGUGUAGAUUUGAGGGUUACAGGGAAUAUUUAUGUUUUCAUAUUCCUAUGUAUGCUUCCCUGACUUGUGAGGUAUGACGGUGUCUCACCUGGUCCAAGGAGCUGCCAGAAUUCAUGUGCUUCAACCGCUUCCUUUUCUCCUUAAGAGCUGGAGAAGUUUGUGUUUUAUUUCAACCCUUUGUGGGAAUCCUUACAUUCAGUUCUGGUGGACUUUUUCAGGAGUGAUUUGAAAAAUCAUUCUCCAAAAAGUAGUCUUAGAAUGAGAAAUUUUUUUCGACGGCUUUUCGGUACUAUUGGUAUUUUUCAUGCAGUAUGUUUAUCAAUUUUAAGUUUUUUAAUUUGGCUCCCCAAUACUACUGAAAUUUAUAAUCAUUUCCUAUCUUUCCAGGAAAUUUCAUUGUUGUGUUUUCCUUUUAAAUCUAUGUACUGUUUUUACUUUGGAAAAGGAACUGGUUUGUUUAAAAGAAACUAAAUAAACCCUUUAAAAUUGUAACAGCAGUGAAGCAUUUUAUAGUUUCUCCUCCCUUCUGGUUCUGCAUUUUGGUGACAGGUGUAUUUCUUAAUGCAGAUAUGAAAAACAGUAGCUCCGUAUCGAAUACAUUGACAAACGGAUGUGUCAUCAAUGGACAUUUGGACUACCCUUCCACGACUCAGCUCAAUGGGAUGGAAAGCAGGAAUGACCAGUGCUUAACAGGAUCUAAUGGACUUAGCAGUGGAUUAGUUCCAGGACGGCCAUAUUCAAGUAGCCAGGGUUCUCUCUGUGUUAAUGGGACUGAGGAGCCAGAAAAGACCAUGAGCGUUAACCCUGAGAUGUGCGGUUCCCUGCACCUGAAUGGGAGUCCAAGUAGCUGCAUAGCAAAUAGACCUUCCUGGGUGGAAGAUAUUGGAGAAAAUUUGCACUAUGGACAUUACCAUGGAUUUGGGGACACUGCCGAAAGCAUCCCUGAGCUUAAUAGUGUAAUAGAGCAUUCCAAUUCUGUGAAGGUAGAAGAAAAAUAUGCCAGUGCUGUCCUGAGUACCAUGAACCUUUACCACGGCUCGUAAAGACAGGUGGCCUGGCUCUGUCUGGAAGCAUUAAUCCUUCCUAGUAACCCACUCAGAAUACUAACGUAGAUCAACCUAAAGGAAUGCCACAACUUGUCCUAUUUUUUUAUACUUUAGCUUUUUGAAGAAGUACACUUGUGUUUGACAAGUUUCUCAUGAGUCCUAGUGAAUGCACGGGUAGGUUUAUUUAGUGCAUAGGUGUUUUCUUCCAUGGACAGUGGGCCUCUUAAUGCACUUCUGGAGUUUUAAGUUUUCUGCUGCCAAUCUCCAUAUUUUCUUUUGAAUACUGUCACCAUAAAUUGGCAUUUUUCCUUUUGUCAAAUUAUAUUUAAUCAAGAUAAAUUUAGAGGCAGUCAGUGAGGUGCUUGAUAAUUUAACUGUUUGCACGUUGGCAUCAUUUUGAAAAGCUUGCUUUUACUCAUUCCUGCAGAAUUUCUGACAGAAGACAGCUAUUUCCCUAUGCAAGAUACAGCCUUACAAAGAUUAGUUGCCGUGAUUUAUAUGAAGAAAAGAACAUUUGUGUUUUUCAAAGUCUUUUCAUUGAAACUCUGCAACUUGCCAUAAGAAGGUUUUACUUGUAGACACAUAUGGUGGUUUGGAUGCAUAAGUCAUGUCCCUUUCAUGAUGUAACUCCCUGGGUUUCAAUGAAAACACACAGCCUGGGACUGACUCCUAAUUGUUUUUAUUACACAUUUCCUACUUUGUCUCUAGAAUUUUUACCACAGAUAAUGGUUUCCUUUAUAUGUAGUGGAAGUUACUAUUUGUAGGAACUGUCGGGUUAAAAUAUUUAACUGACUAUUUCAACUUAUUAUUUUUUUCCUUGUUUCUGUUUUUUGGGGGUUUUCUGCUUUAAAAUAUAUACCACUAUGUAUAUCCAGUAAACUGAGAGAAUUUUUAAUCUCUCUUAUAAAACUGUUACGUUUAUGGUUUUAUAGAAGUUAGCUUUUGUUUAGGUGACUAGUGGUUACACUGUGCAAAUAUUGUAAUGAAUUUUUACUUUUCUGAUUUUUUGUAAUAAAAAUUGGUGAAUAUAGAGAAAAUGUCAAAUGAACAAACCAAUGUUCUAGAGUGUUACUAACAUUUUGUUUUUAAACUGUCCUUGACAAGUUGAAUAAAAAUCUCUCACAUUUGA